GAUGAAGAACGUAGCGAAAUGCGAUACUUGGUGUGAAUUGCAGAAUCCCGUGAACCAUCGAGUCUUUGAACGCAAGUUGCGCCCGAAGCCAUCAGGUUGAGGGCACGUCUGCCUGGGCGUCACAUAUCGUUGCCCAAUGCCUAUUGCAGUGCAAUAGGAAUUUCUAGGGCGAAUGAUGGCUUCCCGUGAGCGUUAUUGCCUCGCGGUUGGUUGAAAAUCGAGUCCUUGGUAGGGUGUGCCAUGGUAGAUGGUGGUCGAAUUAGAACGAUACCGAUCAUGUGCAUGCUCCCCAAAAUAUGGCCUCUAUGACCCACACGCGUCUUUUGACGCUCAUGACGAGACCUCAGGUCAGGCGGGGCUACCCGCUGAAUUUAAGCAUAUCAAUAAGCGGAGGA
rnacentral:misc_RNA from 1 species